rnacentral:rRNA from 1 species
ACCGGCAGCCAUAUCACCCUGUAGCCCAAGACUGGUUGCCCACUGAAGCUAAACAGGGUUGAGCCUGGUUAGUACCUGGAUGGGAGACCUCCUGGGAAAACUAGGUUGCUGCUGGAA